UAUGGGGCGCAGCAGGCGAGAUACACUUGCUAUGUGCUAAAGCACGACAAGGUUAAUCCGAGUGUCUCAUGCUAAAGGAGUCUUUCUGCCGGUCAUAGAACCACCGGUGAAUAAGGGGUGGGUCAAGUUCUGGUGUCAGCCGCCGCGGUACAAACCAGCACCUCGAGUGGUCAGGAGGUUUAUUGGGCCUAAAGCAUCCGUAGCCGCGCUGCUCAAGUUUUCGGUUAAAUUUAUGCGCUCCACGUAUAGGCCGCCGAAAAUACUGGGCAGCUAGGGAGUGGGAGAGGUACACGGUACUCGAUAGGAAGGGGUAAAAUCCUUUGAUCUAUUGAUGACCACCUGUGGCGAAGGCGGUGUACCAGAACACGUUCGACGGUGAGGGAUGAAAGUCUGGGGGAGCAAACCGGAUUAGAUACCCGGGUAGUCCCAGCUGUAAACGAUGCAGACUCGGUGAUGCAUUGGCUUGUGGCCAAUGCAGUGCCGCAGGGAAGCCGUUAAGUCUGCCGCCUGGGGCGACAGCAGAAUGAAGGUCAAGCUGAAGACUUUACCAGACAAGCUGAGAGGUGGUGCAUGGCCGUCGCCAGCUCGUGCCGUGAGAUGUCCUGUUAAGUCAGGUAACGAGCGAGACCCCUGCGUCUAGUUGCUACCAUUACUCUCUGGAGCAGUGGAGCGAAUUAGACGGACCGCCACAGUUAAUGUGGAGGAAGGAAGGGGCCACGGCAGGUCAGUAUGCCCCGAAACCCUAGGGCUACACGCGGGCUGCAAUGGUAUUGACAAUGUGUUCCGAAUCCGAAAGGAGGAGGUCAAUCAUCAAACGAUACCUCAUUUAUACUUAGGGUCUGUCAACUCGUCCCUCACGUAAUAUGUGUACAUCCCUAGUUAACUGUCGUGUUCACUACGUUGUGCUUGUACAUCAGCUUACCCGUCUGCCUGGUCCACCACACGCUCCGCUUGCGUUUUCAUGUAAGUUUGUGUCCUUUCAGUUGUAGUGUUAGUAGUUCUUGUGUGUUGUCAUUAUCCUGCUGCUUAUGGG
rnacentral:rRNA from 1 species